UACGUAGGGGGCGAGCGUUGUCCGGAAUUAUUGGGCGUAAAGGGCUCGUAGGCGGUUUGUCGCGUCGGGAGUGAAAACCUCGGGCUUAACUCGGGGCUUGCUUUCGAUACGGGCAGACUGGAGGUAUGCAGGGGAGAACGGAAUUCCUGGUGUAGCGGUGAAAUGCGCAGAUAUCAGGAGGAACACCGGUGGCGAAGGCGGUUCUCUGGGCAUGACCUGACGCUGAGGAGCGAAAGUGUGGGGAGCGAACAGGAUUAGAAACCCCCGUAGUCC
rnacentral:rRNA from 1 species